ACUAAACAGCUAGCUCAAACUAUAAUGAACCAAGUUAAUGAUAUAAAUAGUCCUACAGAAAGCUAAAAGCACAAACUAAACCAUUCGACCACCCCAGUACGGGCGACAGAAAAGGAAAUAAAGACGCUAUAGACAAAGUACCGCAAGGGAAAGCUGAAAGAGAAAUGAAAUAACGCACUAAAGUAAAUAAAAGCAGAGACUACAUCUCGUACCUUUUGCAUCAUGAUCUAGCCAGUAACCUCAAGCAAAGAGACCUCUAGUUUGAACCCCCGAAACCGGACGAGCUACUCCGGGGCAGCCUAUUAUAGGGCCAACCCGUCUCUGUGGCAAAAGAGUGGGAAGACCCCCGAGUAGAGGUGAAAGACCUACCGAGUCAGGUUAUAGCUGGUUGCCCAAGAAAUGAAUAGAAGUUCAGCCCCGCCACGCCCUUACCCACAACAGUUUUACUUAAACAAGGCAUAAAGGACACCCGCGGGAGUUAGUCAAGGGAGGUACAGCUCCCUUAACAAAGGACACAACCUUAAACAGGAGGCUAAGGAAUAUAUUAAACUAAGGCCCUAGGUUUCAGUGGGCCUAAAAGCAGCCACCUGAACAGAAAGCGUUAAAGCUCAGACCAAUCCAAGCCUAUUAUAACAUUAAAAUCUCCAAAGCCCCCAAUAUUACUGGGCCAUCCUAUGCCCCCAUAGGAGGGACCAUGCUAGAACGAGUAAUAAGAAGAAAGACCUUCUCCCAGCACAUGUGUAAGUCGAACCGGACACCCCAUCGACAAUUAACGAACCCAACAAGAGAGGGUAGUACACCACCGCCACCCCAGGCCAAGAAGACCAUGUAGUAGAACAUCGUUACCCCCACACAGGAGUGCUUAAAUCAAGGGAAAGACUUAAAGGAUAAAAAGGAACUCGGCAAACCAAAACCCCGCCUGUUUACCAAAAACAUCGCCUCCUGCCACCACUAAUUAUAGGAGGUCCCGCCUGCCCUGUGACCAAAAGUUUAACGGCCGCGGUAUUUUAACCGUGCAAAGGUAGCGCAAUCAAUUGUCUUUUAAAUGGAGACCUGUAUGAAUGGCAUAACGAGGGUUUAACUGUCUCUUUUUCCCGGUCAAUGAAACUGAUCUGCCCGUGCAGAAGCGGGUAUUUACACACAAGACGAGAAGACCCUAUGGAGCUUUAGACGCCAACCAACCACGAAAAGCGGCCGCUGACUGGACCCUUAAACAACGUGAUUAUGGCAUAAGCGUCUUCGGUUGGGGCGACCACGGGAGAUAACAAAGCUCCCGAGUGGAUAGGGGGACACCCUAAAACCCAGAGCCACAGCUCUAAGUCACAAAACAUUUGACCAAUAAUGAUCCGGCUUUAUGCCGACCAACGAACCAAGUUACCCUAGGGAUAACAGCGCAAUCCCCUCCCAGAGUCCAUAUCGACGAGGGGGUUUACGACCUCGAUGUUGGAUCAGGACAUCCUAAUGGUGCAGCCGCUAUUAAGGGUUCGUUUGUUCAACGAUUAAAGUCCUACGUGAUCUGAGUUCAGACCGGAGUAAUCCAGGUCAGUUUCUAUCUGUGAAACCACCCUUCCUAGUACGAAAGGACCGGAGUGAUGAGGCCCCUGCUUUAAGCACGCCUCCCCCCAACCUGCUGAAUACAACUGAAGUAGGUAAAGGGGGGUAAUCCCCGGCCCAAGAGAAGGGCGC
rnacentral:rRNA from 1 species